rnacentral:tRNA from 1 species
CGGGAAGUGGCGCAGUUGGUAGCGCACGCGUCUGGGGGGCGCGGGGUCGCAAGUUCGAGUCUUGUCUUCCCGA